AGCUAGAAUUCGGGUUCCCGAAUACUUCAAUUUGCGUCUUCCUUAACUUUCAUCGUUUGGUAAUUGGAUUUCGAAUUCCUGUUUUUUAGUUUCGUUCUGUUUUAUUGAUCUGAUCGAUUCUUUUUCUAUCCGAUUGUGGCCCGACGGAUUUACCUCGGUCUCAGACUGAUUGGGUCUUUUGUAGACGCUAGAUUGUGGGAUCUUGAAGUGAUUCAAGUUGGUCGCAGUAUCCUAUUGUGCCUGCAAAUCGUUGAGGUUUUAAGAUAUGGGUCUCUAGAUUAUACGCCAUGAGAAAGCAACUGCUCUUCUAUUUCUUCAAUAAGAAGGGCACAGAGCGUUUAUAAUGAGAAAUUAUAACUGAUGAGGAUUAGUAUACCUCAGUUUGGGGAUGAAGUGGUGCAUGACAAUGAGGAUGAAGAAGUUAAUGCAAGCAGAGUAAUGGCUCAUAUAAUGGUAUGUUUCCGGACCUAAAAUCAGUAAAAUGCAUUACAGGUUUGUUUCAGACCUAGAUUACUUAUUCCACUGGACUUGAAUAUGCAAAUCUCAAAGCUAAGGUGGAAGGUUUAACAGGGAAGUCAAAGGUAUGCAUCAAGUUUAUAGGUUCUAAUAAAUUGCACCAAGUUUAUAGGUUCUGAUUAAUAACAUUACAUUAUGUCAUUUUCUUAUUUACAGUCAUUUUAUGAGGCAUAUCUCUAAUCCUUAAUUAUUAAACAACUUCAGAUUUAUUCCAACCAUGAUCAGUUCUGAUUCGACUAUUAAAUACUAAAAUCUCUUUUCAAAAUGGGAUCGGGGUUUUGAUAUAUGGUAUGUCAGUUGUAGACAAUAUAUUGAUUCAGUCCUUUUAUCUUUUUCUUGCAGAUAAGUGAGAACUUCAAGUUGUAAGAAGACUUAUAUAAAGUGAAAAUUUUAACCAUUUGGGAUUGGUAUCAAAUUUAGACAAUCAUUUGGUGUUGUUAAUAUCGAUUUCACAUUGGUAGACUUAUUAAUCAUUUUUAAGUACUAUUUUAUUGUUUAGAAAAUGACAACCCACUACCAUAGACAGUUGUAAAACACAAAAAAACCACCUUGCAACAGAUUUAAACAAAUAAGGACAUAAGCCCAAGCCCAUUUAUCUAUUUUACAGAUUCUACUUCAUCAAUUGUAUCAUGUCAUCGCGGUGGGAGGUGGUUUUGCUCUAAAAUGCGCCGCUGCUGGAUUGCUGGUUGUUGGGCAGUGGGCACUUCGUAUGGAUUACGCCUUUGACGCGAGACGCGCUAAUACAAUGUAAACAUGCCAACGAGUGCAUAGUAGCAACUUGCGCCAGGCGGAAGAAAGGGUUGGUUUGAGACCAAGUGAUCUAUUAUGUUCUUAGAUUUUUACCCCCGAAUUUUGUGAUCCAUGUGUAUUCUCCAGAUUAUUUGCUGGGCUCAUGUUCUGCAGAUUUCCCCUUCUUUUUUUUAAUCACUAUUUCAUCAAGUGUUUUACUGUUUUCAAUUUUGAAUUUAGGUUGCUUUGUGGCUUUCUUAGAAAUUCCAAUACAAAUCAUUAUCUCAACUGUUAUUUCUAUACAAGUGUAUGGGCAUGAAAAAUUGAACUCUUCUUUGUUUGGUUUGCUUUUUCGAAAGACUAGUUUACAGCAGCCCUGCUACCAUCGGAACCAGUUAUUAGCCUUAGCGUCUCUAGCUAUAAAAAUAACCAUUGCUCUUAAUUUAAGAACAACCUGUAUUGUGCACUUGUAUAUUAGAUAGCUAACAAGUAAGAUUUGAGUUGGAUCAGUUGAUAUGAAUACUAAAUUCAUGCUUGUUUUGGUUAGGUCAGGUCCAAUGUUUUUAUUCUAGUCUUUAACACCAUCACUUUGGACACAUUUCAAAGGUGUUGCUGAACCAUCUUUCCAUGAUGAAUACAUUUGUCAUUCAUGUAUUUUUAUUUUAAUACAUGUAUGUGCAGCAAAAGUAGUCAACGAACUGGCCUAGCUUCUCUGUGUAGUCUUUAUUUGGUUUUCAUCUGCCGGCUGAAAGUUAUGAACUGAUUCUGAUAUUCACCAAGCUGCUCUUUCAGGCAGGCCGUGCAAGAGGAAGGAAGGCUGGAAUUUGUAAUGUGAAUUCUCUUUUGGCUCUGUGUAAUUAUAACCAAGUUGCACAUUAUUUCUCAUUAGUUUGUUUAGACA